rnacentral:rRNA from 1 species
CCUACGGGUGGCUGCAGUGGGGAAUAUUGCACAAUGGGCGAAACCCUGAUGCAGCGACGCCGCGUGAGUGAAGAAGUAUUUCGGUACGUAAAGCACUAUCAGCAGGGAAGAAAGUGACGAUACCUGACUAAUACGCCACGGCUAACUACGUCCCAGCAGCCGCGGUAAUACGUAGGGGGCACGCGUUAGCCGGAUUUACUGGGUGUAGAGGGAGCGUAGACGGCAGCGCAAGUCUGGAGUGAAAUCCCAUGGCUUAACCAUGGAACUGCUUUGGAAACUGGGCAGCUGGAGUGCAGGAGAGGUAAGCGGAAUUCCUAGUGUAGCGGUGAAAUGCGUAGAUAUUAGGAGGAAUACCAGUGGCGAAGGCGGCUUACUGGACUGUAACUGACGCUGAGGCUCGAAAGCGUGGGGAGCAAACAGGAUUAGAUACCCUUGUAGUC